UACGUAGGGGGCAAGCGUUGUCCGGAUUCAUUGGGCGUAAAGAGCGUGUAGGCGGCCAGGCAGGUCCGCUGUGAAAACUCGAGGCUCAACCUCGAGAUGUCGGUGGAAACCGUCUGGCUAGAGUCCGGAAGAGGAGAGUGGAAUUCCCGGUGUAGCGGUGAAAUGCGCAGAUAUCGGGAAGAACACCCGUGGCGAAGGCGGUUCUCUGGGACGGUACUGACGCUGAGACGCGAAAGCGUGGGGAGCGAACAGG
rnacentral:rRNA from 1 species